rnacentral:rRNA from 1 species
GACGAACGCUGGCGGCGUGCCUAACACAUGCAAGUCAACUUGACGGAAGGAGCAAUCUGACCGUAGAGUGGCGCAAGGGUGCGUAACGCGUAAGUAACUUGCCCAAGGUAAGGAAUAACGUCGAGAAAUCGGCGCUAAUACCUCAUAAUGCAGCGGAUCCGCAUGGAUAUGUUGUUAAAGGUUUACCGCCUUGGGAUAGGCUUGCGUCUGAUUAGCUAGUUGGUGUGGUAACGGCACACCAAGGCUACGAUCAGUAACUGGUCUGAGAGGAUGAUCAGUCACACUGGAACUGAGACACGGUCCAGACUCCUACGGGAGGCAGCAGUGAGGAAUAUUGGGCAAUGCUCGAAAGAGUGACCCAGCAACGCCGCGUGGAGGAUGAAGGUAUUCUAUAUCGUAAACUCCUGUGAGAGCAGACGAAAGACAGAUUAUUAAUCUGGAUGACUGUAUGCUCAGAGGAAGCCCCGG